rnacentral:misc_RNA from 1 species
AAAGAAGCCGAAAGGCUACUUAAAACCAUCGCGAACAAGUCCAUGUUGCUUCGGCGGCGCGGGGCCCCUUCACCGGGGCGCCGCUGCCCUCCGCCCUCCGCCCCCGGGUCUCCGGGGGUGUGGGGCGCCCGCCGGAGGUACGAAACUCUCCUGUAUCACAGUGGCAUCUCUGAGUGAAACACAAAUAAGUUA